UAGGGAAUAUUGGACAAUGGGGGCAACCCUGAUCCAGCCAUGCCGCGUGAGUGAAGAAGGCCCUCGGGUUGUAAAGCUCUUUUGUCCGGAAAGAAAAGCAUUCGGUGAAUACCCGGAUGUUCUGACGGUACCGGAAGAAUAAGCACCGGCUAACUUCGUGCCAGCAGCCGCGGUAAUACGGAGGGUGCGAGCGUUAUCCGGAUUUACUGGGUUUAAAGGGUGCGUAGGUGGGCUUAUAAGUCAGUGGUGAAAUCUCCGAGCUUAACUUGGAAACUGCCGUUGAUACUAUAGGUCUUGAAUUAUCUGGAGGUAAGCGGAAUAUGUCAUGUAGCGGUGAAAUGCUUAGAUAUGACAUAGAACACCAAUUGCGAAGGCAGCUUACUACAUAUAAAUUGACGCUGAGGCACGAAAGCGUGGGGAUCAAACA
rnacentral:rRNA from 1 species